GGGUGUUAAAUAAUAGGUGCAAGGGCUCCAAGAGUUGGCACCUAAUAGGAUUCUUAAUGUAAAUUAAAUAACUUAAGUUAUUAGGAAACCUAAUGCAAGUAGGACUUGUAUUAUGAGAUUGAAUUGGAUUCAAUCCUCAUGCUUAUUUAAAGAAACCUCCUCUAAGGUCCCUAGAGAAUCUAACCAGCACUCCACAUGCCGCAAAGGAGACUCCCAUGCCCUCUCUUUCUCUUCCUUUCUCUUCUCCCCUUGGGCGUCCCACACUCCCCAUCCUUUGGGACGUCCCAAGCUCUUCCACACCCA
rnacentral:lncRNA from 1 species